GCAAAAGUUACUCUAACGAGAUACCCAAGGAAUUUCGUAUGCGAACUGCGGAAACCACCCGUUCCGGAGGGUACAUCUGCCCUGGGCUGAUAAAGUGUGAUAAGAGCUGUAAAUUUGGAUGCCGAUCCUAUGAAUAUCUCUCGGUUUCGGACGCUAAACUAUUUUUAUUUGAACUUAUCUUACUCAUUAUUUUGCACUAAUAACUGCCGCGCGUAGAUAAGCUUCGACUGCUUUCCGUGCUGCUAUCGAGGUUGCUUUUUUUUUAAACCGGGGAAUGAAGCAAGAAGCAGAGACUUUUGCGUCUCGCAUGCUGUCUUAUUAACAAGUGAGAAUUCGUAUGUCGACGGUGCAAUAUCGACGGUUACUGCCUUUCCAGUGUAAAAGUUGAUUAACGAUCUAACGAGCAAAAUGGGCUGCUGCUGUAGUAAACGAGAUUCGCGAGAAAUAACCGUAGCUGUGCCGAAUAACGAGCAAGCGCCUGAACAGAAUGGGGAGUCGCAGCCAUACUACAUUUCCACCCUCGAAAUCGAAUCGAUCACGCCCGCCACGACGGAGCAGAAGUCCUGAGGGAAGUAGUCUUCAUCAUGUGCCAUCCUGUUGUUAGUUUGUAAUUCGGAGUCAUCCCUGUUAGCCGCAUACCUACUUAAGUUGAUAGUGUUACAUAUAAUUUAUAAUCUACGAUAAUAGUGGAAACCCUUGUGCCUGCAAAUAGCUCAUUUGAGGUUCCAUAAAAUUGUUUGCCUUCGCCAUUGGUACGCGUCACCGUAUUGGCUUUUGUUGAAAGUGAAAAUUAGUGCACGGAAAAUCGUGUUUCACGUCCCUAUGUUAAUUUGUGUUAUAUUUUUGAUUUUUGAAAUUUCAACGAGUACUGCCGAGAGCUUCCAUGCUCUCAGAGCCAAGGAACUCGCGGAACACCUAGAAAUGUUUGAUCAAGUCUGUAAACAGUAUUGCUUGGGAGAAGCUGCAACUGGGCUUCGUUGUAAUGGAAAAGUUUCUGUAAAUCCACGAGAUGAUUUAUGAGCAAAGAAUCUUAAGUGAAUAAACAUUGAAAUUUUCACAUUU